rnacentral:miRNA from 1 species
CUGUAGUAUCUCUCAAGUAUGAGGGCAUUUGCUUUACAAAUUGUAAAGGAAAUGUCCUCAUACUUGAGAGAUACUUACAA